rnacentral:lncRNA from 1 species
UGAAUUUUAAUUGUAUUUUGUAAAAUUAUGUAUUGAAUAUUAUAAAUCUAAAAGGUGUUAUGAAAAAAGCAACCGCCCUUGUUGGUACAUGUUGGAUGGUAGUAUUUCAUUUGUACAAGUCUCCGCUGACUUCGUUAUGCUGUAAAGUAAAAAAAAAACAAAAAACAAAAGAUCACGUGUAAAAAUGUGUCAUAUGCUAACGUUCAGUUUAUUCUGCAUCAUCACCUUCACCAAUAUAUUAAGC